UACGGAGGAUGCAAGCGUUAUCCGGAUUUAUUGGGCGUAAAGCGUCCGCAGGUGGCUAUACAAGUCUGCUGUUAAAGCGUGGGGCUUAACUCCAUACAGGCAGUGGAAACUGUAAAAGCUAGAGUCUGGUAGGGGUCACGGGAAUUCCCAGUGUAGCGGUGAAAUGCGUAGAUAUUGGGAAGAACACCAGCGGCGAAAGCGCGUGACUGGGCCGGAACUGACACUCAUGGACGAAAGCUAGGGGAGCGAAAGGG
rnacentral:rRNA from 1 species